GUGGCUUCCGGAGCUAACGCGUUAAGUAGACCGCCUGGGGAGUACGGCCGCAAGGUUAAAACUCAAAUGAAUUGACGGGGGCCCGCACAAGCGGUGGAGCAUGUGGUUUAAUUCGAUGCAACGCGAAGAACCUUACCUGGUCUUGACAUCCACGGAAGUUUUCAGAGAUGAGAAUGUGCCUUCGGGAACCGUGAGACAGGUGCUGCAUGGCUGUCGUCAGCUCGUGUUGUGAAAUGUUGGGUUAAGUCCCGCAACGAGCGCAACCCUUAUCCUUUGUUGCCAGCGGUUAGGCCGGGAACUCAAAGGAGACUGCCAGUGAUAAACUGGAGGAAGGUGGGGAUGACGUCAAGUCAUCAUGGCCCUUACGACCAGGGCUACACACGUGCUACAAUGGCGCAUACAAAGAGAAGCGACCUCGCGAGAGCAAGCGGACCUCAUAAAGUGCGUCGUAGUCCGGAUUGGAGUCUGCAACUCGACUCCAUGAAGUCGGAAUCGCUAGUAAUCGUGGAUCAGAAUGCCACGGUGAAUACGUUCCCGGGCCUUGUACACACCGCCCGUCACACCAUGGGAGUGGGUUGCAAAAGAAGUAGGUAGCUUAACCUUCGGGAGGGCGCUUACCACUUUGUGAUUCAUGACUGGGGUGAAGUCGUAACAAGGUAACCGUAGGGGAACCUGCGGUUGGAUCACCUCCUUACCUGAAAGAAGC
rnacentral:rRNA from 1 species